UGGAUGAAAUAUGAAGUUAUUAAAAGAAAAAGGGGUGAAAAGAACAAAGUUUUGUCCAUCUUUGUUCAUCAUAGCUGAAAGUUAGAGAAGAGAAAGGAGAGGAGAAAGCUCUUGAGUAUUCGGUCAUUAGGAGGAGGAAAAUUGAAGGAAAUCCCCAACCAUAGUGGGCUUGGAGCUGUGAGGGAAUUCGGAGUGGCCACCCGUUCUGGAAGUUUGAAUUUCUUCUGGUGAACUGGACAUCCUUUUAUUUACGUUUGAAGUUUUGGGUUUUUAAAUGUAAUAAGGCCGCUUAAUUAUUUUUGAUGGUUUUAAUAUGUAUUACUAAGAUAGGUAUUACUUAUUUUAACUGUUGAAAUUGGAUAGCUUUAGGGCGCGUUUUCAAAAAAACAACAAUUGAUUUCAAAAUAA